rnacentral:rRNA from 1 species
UACGUAGGGGGCAAGCGUUGUCCGGAUUUAUUGGGCGUAAAGAGCGUGUAGGCGGUUUGGUAGGUCCGCUGUGAAAACUCGAGGCUCAACCUCGAGACGCCGGUGGAAACCAUCAGACUAGAGUCCGGAAGAGGAGAGUGGAAUUCCUGGUGUAGCGGUGAAAUGCGCAGAUAUCAGGAAGAACACCCGUGGCGAAGGCGGCUCUCUGGAACGCAACUGACGCUGAGACGCGAAAGCGUGGGGGAGCAAACAGG